AGAGAGAGAGAGAGAAAGAGAAGGGGUUGGAGAGAGAAAGCACAGGCUCUCCAUUACUGUUUGAAACAUCUACAAAAUCAAAUCGCUUCAUCGCUUAGACUAGUGUAUUGUCUUCACUCGAUCCAGCUCUUCUGAUCCUUCUAGAACAUUCUGUAACAGUUUCCGUAGAAACGUUUCCUUCUUUGUUUCCUGUAAAGUGUACAGAAUCCUCUCCCUCAAAAGAAACCCCGUUUCGAUGGAGCUCUACGGCCGGAACCACGCAAGGAAUGGGUCGCAAUCGGGUCAACAACCCGAAUGGAGCCCCGUGAGAGGCGAAACCGGGUUAGAAGAAUCGAUGUGGCGAUUGGGGCUAGCCAGCAGUGAAUUAUAUCCGGAGCGGCCCGGCGUGCCCGACUGUGUGUAUUAUAUGCGAACAGGGUUUUGUGGAUAUGGUGGUAGGUGCCGCUAUAAUCACCCUCGCAAUCGCGCUGCGGUUGAGGCAGCUGUAAGAGCUACCGGGGAGUACCCAGAACGUGUAGGGGAACCCCCUUGUCAGUUUUAUUUGAAGACUGGAACCUGUAAAUUUGGAGCAUCUUGCAAGUUCCAUCAUCCGAAGCAUGGAGGUGGAUCCUUGAGCCAUUUUCCACUAAAUACACAUGGAUACCCAUUACGACUGGUUUGAAUCAUCUUCUUUGUUUUCCUUCCUCAACACUCACACACAAUAGAUAUUAAUAUUUAUAUUUCAUAAACUGUCAAGGCAAUCAUAAGACUUUUUUCCCCCUCUCUCUCUCUCUAAAGGGUGAAAAAGAAUGCUCCUACUAUUUGAAAACGGGGCAGUGCAAAUUUGGUAUAACUUGUAAAUUCCAUCAUCCUCAACCAGCUGGCACAUCACUGCCAGAAUCUGCACCCCAUUUUUAUCAGCCGGUGCAGUCACCUUCAAUUACUAUACCUGACCAAUAUGGAGGGGGAUCCACCAGCUUGAGGGUGAGGCCUCCAGUGUUACCUGGUUCAUAUGUGCAAGGGGCUUAUGGUCCUGUGUUGUUUUCCCCUGGAGUGGUUCCUAUUCCGGGUUGGAGUCCUUAUUCGGUAAUUUUAUGGCCUUAUUUGCUUGAGUUGUUGAAAACUUACAUUCAUUUCUUAUACUUCCCUUGGGUUUUGUGGCUUAGGCACCUGUAAGUCCUGUUCUGUCUCCUGGUGCACAGCCUGCAGUUGGGGCAACUUCUCUGUAUGGUGUAACACAAUUAUCUUCUUCAGCACCUGCACUUGCCGGACCUUACGCAUCGCCCUCUUCUGUUGCUGGCCUUUCAAGUGGUACUAAGGAACAAGCUUUUCCAGAGAGACCUGGCGAACCUGAGUGCCAGUACUAUUUGAGGACUGGAGACUGUAAAUUUGGAUCAUCUUGUAGAUAUCAUCAUCCUCGGGAUCGGGUUGUGCCAAGAACAAAUUGUGUCCUAAGCCCACUUGGCCUUCCUUUACGUCCAGUAAGUGAAUUUAUUCAUUUUCUUUAUUCAUAUAGCUUAUAUCUCAAAUUACCAGCCCAAAGAGGACCCCAAUGCAAAAGAAGUCAAAAUAACAUGGUUCAAUCCAAACAAAACCUCAAACUCUCAUCCCUAUCGGGAGGCAGUGGGACGCUCUUCCUUGCAUUAUGAAAGGCACUCUGCAAUAUUUACUUUCUCCUCUUGUGCCUGGUAGGGGAUAAUGGUUUUCUAAUGAUGCCUGUAAGACGUGAUAUCUGAAAUAAUGCUCAGAGCACUUCCCUUUGCUGCUUUUUAGUUCCCUGUUUAUAUAGUCUUGUAGUUUUAUUUAUAAACUGCAUCUACAUCAAGAGUUUUAAAUUUGUUUGAAUUUUGAUUCGUUUAAUCUAUACUGAAAUUAAUGAUUCAACAACAAAAAAAAAAAAAUCAAAGGAGCACAAAUAUGUAACACUUGUUUUCAAAAUUUUUCAUAAUGAAGGAAAACUUAUAAGUUAUUGUCAUUACAGUUUGCAAGUUAUUUUAUCAUGCAAUUCAGUACUAGGAAAUUUAAGAUAAUAUAUGUAUGGAACUUUGGAAAACUGAUUUUGCUGUGGAUGUGGAAGUUACUGUGUGAAUUGAGGAGGGGUGGCAGCAGUAGACUGUUUUCUUGUUUCCAGGUUACCAUAUCUGUGCUUGCCACUGCCAGUGUAUCUUAUGACUCCCAUCUUGUCAAGCUUUUUUCUGUUCAAGUAACUUAUGCAUUGCCCUUUAAGUUUCCUAAAUGAUUAGUGAUUUUUAUAUGCUGUGUUAAUGCAUGUUACUAUGAUUCCUUUUAAACUAUUAUUAAAUAUGAUGCUCGCCAUUGUAAACAGGGAGUGCAACCUUGUGCCUUCUACUUGCAAAAUGGGAACUGCAAAUUUGGGGCCACGUGCAAAUUUGAUCACCCAAUGGCAACAGUGAGAUAUAGUCCAUCAACAUCAUCUCUUAUUGAUAUGCCAGUUUCUCCGUAUCCAGUUGGGUCUUUGCUUGCUACUUUGGUCCCUUCAUCGUCUUCUGCUGAAUUGCGACCUGAACUUAUUGGAGUGACCAAAAAGGAUCCUUAUUUGAGCAGAAUUCCUUCUUCUGGAAAUACAUCAAGCAAUUCAGUUGGGUUGAUUUUUUCCCAGACUGGGUCUUUACCACUUCCUGAGUUGCAACAUUCAAUUCAGAGUUCCGUUCCUUUAGCCGGUGGCAGAAGUACAAGACAAGGUGGCGAGGUUCGUCAUUCAAGUUGAUGUAAAACCCUAAAGUCAUCGUUCACUAUCUAGCGCAUGCGAUUCAUUGGUCUUCAUAUGAUUUUCUGUUUACAGAGCUCCGUAAGUUGUAACUUGUCCGGAAGUUUCAUUGCUCCAUGUAAAGGUCUACCAUCCAAUCUGGUUUAAGCUCAUACUAGGACUGAUAGUCUUUAUGCUCAUAUCAUCUAUCUAAAGCCAUUGAUAUUAUCUGAAAUAAGCUUCAGUAGCAAUCACUGUAUGAACUUCUUCGCAAAGCAUCAAAAUAAUUUCAGUUUACGAGGCCAGCCUACACCUUCUCUUGUACUGGGCCUUCUGUAUACUUGAUUCUGAUCAUUUUUGUGAUGGAAAGAAUUAGUCAACCCCCUCACUUAUUAGUCAGCCCCGUCUCUGUCCCUCUCUCUCGCACUCUCUCCCCUGAAAAUUUGGGACAAACUUCCAGUUUUGUAAUUUCUGAGCUUACUAUCUGAUUUCACAAGUGUCAGAAGGUGUUUAUUUUGCCCCCUUUUCGAGGGCAUUUAUGGAGAACGUUUUGAAGACUACAAGUAUGCAUGUGAUUGAAGCAAUACUUUGACACCGAGUUGUCAUCCACUGUGAAGCUCUUCAUGUUUAGUGUAAGGUUGGAGAUGUCUUUUGAAUGUAAAAUACCUUUAUUUGUCUGCAUUAUUUUGAAUUAUUAUAUGAGAUGUUGUCGAAACUUUUGAAUUGCCUUCUUUAUAAAUAUGUCCAAGAUUGCUUUGGGGUUUCGGGUUGUUUACUCUGUAUUCAGCUGACUUGACUAGUUGUUCCUUUAACAGUGAUAUAUUACUUGGUCUUGGAUUACGUUUUCUG
rnacentral:misc_RNA from 1 species